AGAAGUUGCUGAUCCAAACGCCCAACAAUUAAUAAAUAAAAAUAAUGGAAAUUAUCAGGGGUGCCCGAACUUUUUCAUACGACUGUAUAAUGGUCUAUUGUUAAUCUAGGUAUCAACCUCAUCCAUCUUAACACACAAUU